CAUAACAUAACAAAAACUAUUUUCUUAUUUCAAUUUUAGAAUUUUGCUUAACAAGAAACACUUAAAUAAGUUCUCAAUUCUACAAGUUAGAACCUUGAUAGUGGUUUUUCUUUUUUAUCGGCAAUGGUUAAUAUGUAUAUUAGUUGUUAAUAUGUUAGUAUUUUGUUGUGGUGAGACUCCACUUUCAACCUCCUACACCCUAUCAUCAAACCACCCUUAUAACUCCUAUUUUUGUUGAUGGUGGGACUCGAACCCACAACCUCCUACGCUCUAUUCCUUACUAUCGCCCUCUUCACCCUGAUAGUGGUUGUUAUUGAAUUGUUCCUUAUUAUUCUAUGUUUGUUUGAUGAAUAGACAUGGUUAGUUGGAGAAGAUUUGAGUGAAGAGGAACAAAAAAAGGCACCAAAAGGAACAUUAUUUAUUCCAUACUCACAAUUCCCACCAAAGAAAUACCGCAAAGAUUGUUCCUUCCAUUGCACUCCUGCAAUGCUAACUCCAACUUCUCUUGAAAAUGUUCAUUCUUGUGAGGUAAUUUCUACCAUCUUUUCACUUCCAUGCAUGUAUAUAUAGGGUAAAAAACAUUUACACCAUCACCACAUAUUCACUAUGUCAGAGUUACAAUUCAACAACACUCAUUUUUAGGAUUCAACGGCAUUUUCGGGCGCUGAUUACAUAAGUGCAGUAGAAUGUCGGGUAUGAUUCAAUGCCGCGGACAGUAGCUGCAUGGAGCUCUGUUAUAUGUUGUACUUAUAAUAGCGUCCCUCUCUAUAGAGCGUUAUUAUAUGAUACAUAUAACAACACUCCUUUUAGAAAAUAUUGUUGGAUGUAUCACAUAUAACAAUGUUCCACAGAAUGAACGCUGUUGUAUGUAUCAUAUAUAACAUCGCUCUCUAACGUGAGCGUUGUUGAAUGUUAUACAUACAAUAACACUUCCUACAAGGAGCAUCGUUGUAUGUAUUACAUACAACAGCGUUUCUCAGAGCUUCUCCUAACAAACACCAUUAAUUAUUGUACACAUUAAUACAUGCAUAUAUAUACAUUUAUUAACAGCACAACGAAUAUAUAUUAUAUAGUUGUCUAAUUCGUCAUAGUAAAUUAGUGUACAAAUAUUUACACUAUCAACGCAUAAUCGAUAUAUUUUGUAGUUCGAUUUGAAAGAUGUUGUUAUAUACAAUGCAGGGUUGGUUGCCAAGGAGGGUAAUGAGUGCAUGGCGCAUAGCUGGGAUAGUGCACUCUUUAGAAGGAUGGAAUGAAAAUGAGUGUGGCUACAAAAUGCAUAACAUUGACAAAGUUUGGAAUACAACUAUUCAACAUGGGUUUAUACCUAUCCCUAUUCCUGUCCCAUCUUAUCCAAAGAAUUAGGUCAUUAUUAAUGAAUGAAUAUAUGGGAAAAAUCAAACAUGUAUGCUUCUUAUAAUAUCCUAGUUAUGAUUAUCAUUUCCUAAAAUAAGUCUUUAUAUAUGUACUACAUGCAUGAUAAUGCAUGCACAACAACAUUAAUACCCUAUAGUUUGUUUAAGUUGUCUUUAUCAUUUUGUUAUAUAUAGUAGUUUGUUCUUAAAUAAAAAUAAUGCAAAUGAAUAGUAAAUUAUGCAUUAACUGUCUUAUGAAUUUUUACACUAUUAGUAUAUGAAUAUUUCACUCUUCAAUAUAAAAAUUUCUUUUCUAAUCCAUAUGUGAAACAAAAUAACUUAUUGUGUUACAAUUUUUAUAUCCACCUAUAAAUUAAUUUUUUUUUAAUAAAUAAUAUGUUAUGAAUAAUUAUUUUCAUUUUUACAUUUUAUUUUUUGGAAAUAAAAUAUUAUGAAUAAUAUGUCAAUUAGUGUUGAAUUGGAAAAAACAUUCUUUAAACACAGUCUAGAAUCAAUGGUUGCUUGUAUAAAAGGGAUAGCGUAUUUCAUGAGACUCCUAUCUAGUUGAGUCCGCCGAGAAUAAAUAUACACAGCUUUAUCGUUCACACCCCUAGUCAAAAUUUCAUCAUUGUUUAUGUCAUAUGUUUGUAGAUAAUGAACCUUAUAUUUUUACAAGUUCUAGUUAAUCCAAUAUGUCCAAAUACUCCAAACCAUCAAAUCUAAGGGACAAACUGCAACACUUCAAUCUCUAAUUGAAAAUUUGAUAACUACAGGAAAAAUUCAUCGUUACAGUUUAGUAAGAAACUCAGGUUUGAAAAGGAAAACAAAAUCGAGAAGUGGAUGAACUCUAAGUCAUAAUCACCGCAAAAGGCGAAUAAGAAAAACGAGAAACAACGGGCAGAAGGAUGAAGCUUGUAAUCACGAUAAAUUGUCCCGAUUUUGGUAUGCUAGAACUGAUCAUUCUAACAUUUCGCUGCCAGCGAUCGUGUAAAAAAUUUGUACAUGAAGUGAAGCUUGAGUGAUACUAUAUCAGCUUCAGGUAUUUUUAUACAAACUGCAGAAAACAAAUAAACAUCAAAACCAGUUAUUCUUAGUCAAUAAACAAUCAUGAUGAUGAGAAAGUGAUAACCAUAUGAGAAGAAAACAUAGAACCCUCAAGGUUCCAACAACCAGGAAAUCUCAGUUCACACAGUAAUUUUACAUCAAUGCUGUUGAGUACGAAACUGUUGCCGAUGAAUGGCCAAUUCUACUUUGGCCAGCCAGUCAAAACAAGCCCGAAAAUGGCUGCAAAAUUACAUGUUUGUGUGCUGUAUUCGUUUCAUAAAUUCUCAGAAUUCUAAAAUACAAUAAUUUUUCUAUUAAUUCCAAAAUCUCAAUAGAGAGGGUGAGUCUCAGCGCAAUAUGAAGGUUUUUGUCUUUGUAACCUAGAUGUCAUGAGUUUAAACCCCGGAAACAAUCUCUUUACUUACGAGAGUAAGACUGCGUACAUUUACCCUUCCCAGACACCAGUAGGUGGAAGCCUCGUGUAGUAAGCUACCAUUUUUUAAUUCCAAAAUCUCAAUAACAUAGACAACUAAAAGGUAUUGAUAACCUAAAUUUGCACCACUCUCCACUGCCACCUCUAUCUCAAUAUCAAUGCCCACAUAUCUAAUGUGGGACUUCACACUUGAAUAAACCCAACACAUUAUAUAAUGAUGUGAUUUACUUUCUGCUCAAAUUUUUUCAGUACUUUCUAGAAUGGCAAAAAGGGCCUAUCAACAGAAUAAUUGAGGAAGCAAUAUUGGAUGCUGAUAGAAAAGGCAUAAAAGUAGUGAGCUUAGGGCUCAUGAAUCAAGAUGAAGAGCUUAACAUGAAUGGAGGAUUAUAUGUUAGUAAGAAUCCAAAGCUCAAAGUUAAGGUUGUUGAUGGAAGCACUCUUGCAGUUGCUAUUGUUCUUAACACCAUUCCUAAAGGAAAAACUCAAGUAUUACUUAGGGGCAAACUCACCAAGGUUGCUUAUGCUAUUGCCUACACCUUGUGCCAGCAAGGUGUUCAGGUACGCUUAUUAAUGUUUUAAAUUGUAGUUGCAGUCAAAUAAUCUUAUAAAAUACAAUGCAAUCACAACAUUGUUCAGCAAAGUAGGAAAAUCAUAAUAUUAGGACUAGUAUUGUACGAAGGUGAAAACAGGUUAGGUUAGGUCAGGUUUUGCUUCAAAUAGGCCGAACUUAUAUAUCAUAUAGAAGUCUGAACCUGACCUUUAGCUUGUUUAAAAAAAAUUCAUAGUAACUGUUUAAAGGUCCGACAUGUUAACCUAUUUGAAGGUCUACUAUAUUGGUCAUGAAAUAGGUCAUUAUGUCUUAUUUACAUGGGCUAAUAAGCUUACUUUUAGCUAGACCGAUAUAACUCAAAUAAUUAAAUUAUAUUUUUGUAUACAUUUUUAUAAUAAUAUUAUCUAUAUUAAAAUAGUAUAAUAUCAACGUUGUUAUAUAAUAUAACUAAAUAGGUUGAUCUCUUCAGGUUAAUAGGUCUUUUAAAUGGUCUAAAAUAUGACGUGUUAAACUAAAUAUUUUUUUAAAAAAAAUCUGAGUCUUAUUAAUUGUGAUUAUGGAAUUAUGACAAUAUUGCUUGUUAGAUAUCUAGGGAAAAAUGUUUAUUUAAAUCUCUACCUUAAAUUUUGAUCAUGUGACUUUAUUUCAGGUUGCUACAAUGUAUGAAGAUGAUUAUGUGAAGCUCAAUAAGUCAUUCAAUGGCUCAGAAACUAAUUUGAUCAUGACUAAAAGUUUCACUCAGACGGUAACAUAACAUAACAAAAACUAUUUUCUUAUUUCAAUUUUAGAAUUUUGCUUAACAAGAAACACUUAAAUAAGUUCUCAAUUCUACAAGUUAGAACCUUGAUAGUGGUUUUUCUUUUUUAUCGGCAAUGGUUAAUAUGUAUAUUAGUUGUUAAUAUGUUAGUAUUUUGUUGUGGUGAGACUCCACUUUCAACCUCCUACACCCUAUCAUCAAACCACCCUUAUAACUCCUAUUUUUGUUGAUGGUGGGACUCGAACCCACAACCUCCUACGCUCUAUUCCUUACUAUCGCCCUCUUCACCCUGAUAGUGGUUGUUAUUGAAUUGUUCCUUAUUAUUCUAUGUUUGUUUGAUGAAUAGACAU
rnacentral:lncRNA from 1 species